AUUGAACGCUGGCGGCAUGCUUUAUACAUGCAAGUCGAACGGCAGCGCGGGCUUCGGCCUGGCGGCGAGUGGCGAACGGGUGAGUAAUACAUCGGAACGUGCCCAGUAGUGGGGGAUAGCUCGGCGAAAGCCGGAUUAAUACCGCAUACGACCUGAGGGUGAAAGCGGGGGAUCUUCGGACCUCGCGCUAUUGGAGCGGCCGAUGGCAGAUUAGCUAGUUGGUGGGGUAAAGGCCUACCAAGGCGACGAUCUGUAGCUGGUCUGAGAGGACGACCAGCCACACUGGGACUGAGACACGGCCCAGACUCCUACGGGAGGCAGCAGUGGGGAAUUUUGGACAAUGGGCGAAAGCCUGAUCCAGCAAUGCCGCGUGUGUGAUGAAGGCCUUCGGGUUGUAAAGCACUUUUGGCGGGAACGAAAAGGACUGUGCCAAUACCACGGUUCGAAGACGGUACCCGCAGAAUAAGCACCGGCUAACUACGUG
rnacentral:rRNA from 1 species